CCCUUAGAUGUCCUGGGCCGCACGCGCGUUACACUGAUGCAUUCAACGAGCUUAUAACCUUGGCCGAGAGGCCUGGGCAAUCUUGUUAACGUGCAUCGUGAUAGGGAUAGAUUAUUGAAAUUAUUAAUCUUGAACGAGGAAUUCCUAGUAAACGCAGAUCAUCAAUCUGCAUUGAUUACGUCCCUGCCCUUUGUACACACCGCCCGUCGCUACUACUGAUUGGAUGUUUAAGCGAGGUUCUCGAACUGCUAGCGACUUAGCUUCGGUGAGGUCGCAGUGUGGGAAGUGAACCUAGCUUUGGUGUCUAGAGGAAGUAAAAGUCGUAACA
rnacentral:rRNA from 1 species